rnacentral:rRNA from 1 species
GGGGUGCUCGAGUGGCGAACGGGUGAGUAACACGUGAGUAACCUGCCCUUGACUUUGGGAUAACCUCAGGAAACUGGGGCUAAUACCGGAUAGGAGCUCCUGCUGCAUGGUGGGGGUUGGAAAGUUUCGGCGGUUGGGGAUGGACUCGCGGCUUAUCAGCUUGUUGGUGGGGUAGUGGCUUACCAAGGCUUUACGGGUAGCCGGCCUGAGAGGGUGACCGGCCACAUUGGGACUGAGAUACGGCCCAG